rnacentral:tRNA from 1 species
GGGAAGGUGGCUCAGUGAUAGAGCACUUGCCUUGCAUGCAUGAGGCCCGGCACUUCUGGCUUUUUUU